rnacentral:tRNA from 1 species
GUGGGUAUAGCUCAGUUGUAAAGUGCAUGUUCAGCAUGCAUGAAGUCCUGGGUUCAAUCCCCAGUACCUUCA